CUGUGAAUAUUCCCACUGUUCUGAUUUUGUCAUAAUCAGGACAGGCUAACCAUUCACUAUAUUAAGACGGUGCAUGUGUCCCCAAGCCUAAUUCUUUAUCCACCUAGAUCUGGUCAUAGUAAUGCUGGUGAUAAAU